UACGAAGGGUGCAAGCGUUGUUCGGAUUUAUUGGGCGUAAAGCGCACGUAGGCGGGUAAGUAAGUCAGGUGUGAAAUCUCGGGGCUCAACCCCGAAACAGCGCCUGAAACUGUUUAUCUAGAAUCUUAGAGGGGGAAGGGGAAUUUCGCAUGUAGGGGUAAAAUCCGUAGAUAUGCGAAGGAACACCGGAGGCGAGAGCGCCUUCCUGGAUAAGUAUUGACGCUAAGGUGCGAAAGCGUGGGGAGCAAACAGGAUUAGAUACCCUGGUAGUCCACGCUGUAAACGAUGAACACUAGAUAUUGCAGGAAUUGACCCCUGCAGUGUCGUAGCUAACGCGUUAAGUGUUCCGCCUGGGGAGUACGGUCGCAAGACUAAA
rnacentral:rRNA from 1 species